rnacentral:lncRNA from 1 species
AUUCUUUAUUUUAUCUUUUCCAGAACCUCCUGCACCCCGAAGCCCGGCCCGCAUGCCAUUGCCCCCUAAAACUGUAGGACGAGACCUUCCACCACAAAUAAUGAAGCCACCUGUUCCCAGAGCCAAAUCUAGUUCGGUUCUGAUCGGUGACACGGUGAACAAAGUUCUGCCGCCGGAAGUAAAACGCGCCACGUUUUCUGGCCAGCUGCCACCCGCACUAAACAGCAAACCGGUUCCUCCCAUCAUCCUCCCCAAAGAACCCAAACCCAGGUGAGUCUUUGAAGCCUUUACCUCUUUACAUGUUCAGAAACGUCCUGGAC